GAUGAACGCUAGCGGCAGGCUUAAUACAUGCAAGUCGAGGGGUAACACGGGUAGCGAAUAUCUGGUGACGACCGGCAAACGGGUGCGGAACACGUACAGAACCUUCCUUUAAGCGGGGGAUAGCCCAUAGAAAUGUGGAUUAAUACCCCAUAGUAAUAUUGUCUGGCAUCAGAUGGUAUUUAAAGAUUUAUCACUUAAAGAUGGCUGUGCGGCUGAUUAGGUAGUUGGUGCGGGUAACGGCCCACCAAGCCUUCGAUCAGUAACUGGUGUGAGAGCACGACCAGUCACACGGGCACUGAGACGACGGGCCCGACUCCUACGGGAGGCAGCAGUAAGGAAUAGUUGGUA
rnacentral:rRNA from 1 species